rnacentral:rRNA from 1 species
GUUCGGAAACGGACGCUAAUACCGCAUACGUCCUACGGGAGAAAGCAGGGGACCUUCGGGCCUUGCGCUAUCAGAUGAGCCUAGGUCGGAUUAGCUAGUUGGUGGGGUAAUGGCUCACCAAGGCGACGAUCCGUAACUGGUCUGAGAGGAUGAUCAGUCACACUGGAACUGAGACACGGUCCAGACUCCUACGGGAGGCAGCAGUGGGGAAUAUUGGACAAUGGGCGAAAGCCUGAUCCAGCCAUGCCGCGUGUGUGAAGAAGGUCUUCGGAUUGUAAAGCACUUUAAGUUGGGAGGAAGGGUUGUAGAUUAAUACUCUGCAAUUUUGACGUUACCGACAGAAUAAGCACCGGCUAACUCUGUGCC